rnacentral:rRNA from 1 species
GUGCACCAGGCGCGAAUCCUUCACAAUGCGCGCAAGCGUGAUGAGGUUACUCUGAGUGGUGUCCGCUGAGGACGCCUUUUGUCAGGCCUAAAAAGCCUGAAGAAUAAGGGGAGGGCAAGACUGGUGUCAGCCGCCGCGGUAAUACCAGCUCCCCGAAUGGUCGAGACGAUUAUUGGGCCUAAAGCAUCCGUAGCCGGUCCUGUUGAUGAUCCGUUAAAUCCAACGACUCAAUCGUUGAACCGCGGAUUAUAUCAUAGGGCUAGGGGGCGGGAGAGGUGAGGAGUACUCCACGGGUAGGGGUAAAAUCCGUUGAUCCGUUGAAGACUAACAGUGGCGAAGGCGCCUCGCCAGAACGCGCUCGACGGUGAGGGAUGAAAGCUAGGGGAGCAAACCGGAUUAGAUACCCCUGUAGUCC